AAUAGAUACCCAGGUAGUCCUAGCCGUAAACGUUGGGUGCUAGGUGUGGGCGGAUAUCGACCCCGUCCGUGCCGAAGCUAACGCAUUAAGCACCCCGCCUGGGGAGUACGGCCGCAAGGCUAAAACUCAAAGGAAUUGACGGGGCCCCGCACAAGCGGCGGAGCAUGCUGCUUAAUUCGAUGCAACGCGAAGAACCUUACCUGGGUUUGACAUGCAGGGUGAAACCCGUGAAAGCGGGCGCUCUUCGGAGCCUGCACAGGUGGUGCAUGGCUGUCGUCAGCUCGUGCCGUGAGGUGUUGCCUUAAGUGGCGUCAACGAGCGCAACCCCGUGUCCUUAGUUGCCAGCGGGUUCAUGCCGGGAACUCUAGGGAGACUGCCGGUGCCAAACCGGUGAAGUGGGGAUGACGUCAAGUCAGCAUGCCCGUUAUACCCAGGGCUGCAAGCAUGCUACAAUGCGCGAUACAAAGGGCUGCGAUCCCGUAAGGGGANCGAAUCCCGAAAAGUCGCGCUCAGUUCGGAUCGAGGUCUGACC
rnacentral:rRNA from 1 species